UGGGGAAUAUUGGACAAUGGGCGAAAGCCUGAUCCAGCCAUGCCGCGUGAGUGAUGAAGGCCCUAGGGUUGUAAAGCUCUUUUGUGCGGGAAGAUAAUGACGGUACCGCAAGAAUAAGCCCCGGCUAACUUCGUGCCAGCAGCCGCGGUAAUACGAAGGGGGCUAGCGUUGCUCGGAAUCACUGGGCGUAAAGGGUGCGUAGGCGGGUUUCUAAGUCAGAGGUGAAAGCCUGGAGCUCAACUCCAGAACUGCCUUUGAUACUGGAAGUCUUGAGUUCGGGAGAGGUGAGUGGAACUGCGAGUGUAGAGGUGAAAUUCGUAGAUAUUCGCAAGAACACCAGUGGCGAAGGCGGCUCACUGGCCCGAUACUGACGCUGAGACGCGAAAGCGUGGGGAGCAAACA
rnacentral:rRNA from 1 species